UAAGGAAUAUUGGUCAAUGGGGGCAACCCUGAACCAGCCAUGCCGCGUGCAGGAAGACGGCCCUACGGGUUGUAAACUGCUUUUAUACGGGAAUAAACCUCUUUACGUGUAGAGAGUUGAAUGUACUGUAAGAAUAAGGAUCGGCUAACUCCGUGCCAGCAGCCGCGGUAAUACGGAGGAUCCAAGCGUUAUCCGGAUUUAUUGGGUUUAAAGGGUGCGUAGGCGGCCUAUUAAGUCAGGGGUGAAAGACGGUGGCUCAACCAUCGCAGUGCCCUUGAUACUGAUGGGCUUGAUUACACUAGAGGUAGGCGGAAUGUGACAAGUAGCGGUGAAAUGCAUAGAUAUGUCACAGAACACCAAUUGCGAAGGCAGCUUACUAUGGUGUCAAUGACGCUGAGGCACGAAAGCGUGGGGAUCAAACA
rnacentral:rRNA from 1 species